rnacentral:rRNA from 1 species
UACGGAGGGUGCAAGCGUUAUCCGGAUUCACUGGGUUUAAAGGGUGCGUAGGUGGGUUGAUAAGUCAGUGGUGAAAUCCCCGAGCUUAACUUGGGAACUGCCAUUGAUACUAUUGAUCUUGAAUACCGUGGAGGUCAGCGGAAUAUGUCAUGCAGCGGUGAAAUGCUUAGAUAUGACAUAGAACACCAAUUGCGAAGGCAGCUGGCUACGCGAAUAUUGACACUGAUGCACGAAAGCGUGGGGAUCAAACAGG